UACGGAGGGGGCUAGCGUUGUUCGGAAUUACUGGGCGUAAAGGGCGCGUAGGCGGCCGUGUGCGUCGGAUGUGAAAGCCCGGGGCUCAACCUCGGAACGGCAUUCGAUACGGGACGGCUGGAGACCGGGAGAGGAGAGUGGAAUAGCCAGUGUAGAGGUGAAAUUCGUAGAUAUUGGCUGGAACACCGGUGGCGAAAGCGGCUCUCUGGCCCGGUUCUGACGCUGAGGCGCGAAAGCGUGGGGAGCAAACAGG
rnacentral:rRNA from 1 species